ACAGUUCACUAUUAUAGUUUCAAAUUCUGCUUGUAGUCUAUGGAACUGUUGCUUAAAUUUGGAGAUUAUGGAUCAAGUGUUAGGCCUGUAAGUAUUAAUACCAAGGUGUUGUAUGGCAUAGAUCCUCAUCUACCUUCCCUUCCACAUACAGGCACAUUCCAAGUCAACUGAGUUCUACAGUUCUAAAGAAUAUUUAGAUAUCCAUAUUCCUCACCUGAUGACUAAAGUUUCAGAUAAUUGUCUGCAUGUGUGAACAUGCCAAUUUGGAUCACACAGCAUAGAUAGGCAGAUGAAGACCUUGUUUCAACAGGCUUUUAAGAACUGGCUGCUUUUAAUGAAAGGAUUGGUGCUGUGCUGUUUUUAUGUCCAAAGGACCCUCCAACCCACUGGAGCAGUUUGAAGUGAGACACAGGUGACUGCAGCGAGAAAGUGAAAUCAGCAGCAACCGCCUUUCCGCUUUCCUCAAACAUCAUCGGACAGUCCUGUCCCCCCACAAGGUCUGAGGGACACUGGACCGGCCCCCUGCUGAAAAAGAAAAGAAAAGAAAAAGAAAAAGUUUGCUGACCCCUGGUAUAGAGAGUCUGAAAAUUGCACACAACAUGAACUACUCCCAUCACAAUCCAAGUUGGGACUGCAAAGAUGUAUGAGAUGGCUGGACCAUGAUUUUAAUAAUCAUCCCAAGUGAAUGAAGAUAUUAUUAUACAAGAUUAUUGUAAACAUCAGUGAACUUUCCCAACAUUCUCUUGAGGGCAGUGAAAAGGAACUGCUAUGUCACAUUGCCUUUUAUUUAUGAAGAGAGGAGAUCCUGCAGUUACGGUAUGUGCCAAGAUAUGGAAAAGAGGAACACGCAGCCUCCAAAGAAAUGGAAGUGAGAAGCAGUGAGAGAGCAAAGACCAAGGAAGCAGAAAGGGCAGAGCAGAAUAAAUGAACUAGCGGUGCCCUGGCAUAGCGCCACCCUCUCUGCUGCCUCGCCCUGUACCCACCUGAAAUCUACACAAAGGCAACACUGAUAGACUGACAGUCAGUGCCACCCCCCUAAGCUGAUUCAGAAGCACAAAAAGCAGCAAGACCCCAACCAAGAUACAGGAAAUGGUCACCAGCAUCUUUAGCCCUUCAUUGGUUGCCAGACCUUCCUCACUUUGGACAACUGACUUAAUGAGUGGAGGGAUUGUACCUGGAAACAGUGUCAUGACAUUAGAUGCCUAUCAAUGAAGAGAAAAGGUCACCACAGAGUUUAUGAUGCAGAUAUGUGCUGGGAUGGGAAUGAUGGGGUCGAUGAUAACAUCCAAGAGGCACUGUGUGUCUUCCAGCAUUGGCUUCAGUGUACAAUCCCAGAGAUGCGCCUCAGCAUCCCUUGAAAUAUUGCAGAAGUUGCCGGGGGUGCAAAAUUCUACAACUGUUCACUGCAAGCAAAUGCUUCACUUAUUUUUUUAAAAAAAAUUGUAAUGUUUCUGCUUACGCAAUGGAUCUUUGGCUGCAAUGCAAAUCCACUGUGGGUUGUAAUCUAUCACUUGAAGAAUAAUGUUACAAGAAAGUGAUAAUUGGGUCUAUGAUAAUAAAUAAUGGCUGUUUCAAUCUGUAGGUGGGCUUUUAGCAAGGCUAUAUAUUCUGGUCUAACAGGACCACUCUGAUUCUUGCAUUAGAAACUACAAAGUUGCUUGUGUGGUUUAUCUGUGUCUUUGAAAACACAGAAGUGUUUGUGUGCCUUGCUUAGGUAAACAAGAGAAUCCUGUUAGACCAGAGGAGAUAACUACCGUGAGCUCCCUGUAGCCAAGAGCUUUUGCUGCUUGUUUCUGUUUCUCAAAGGUUGAUCUUAUAGUGACUUUAAUCAUCAAUGGACAUCCAGGUUUGCCAAAGUCAGCAGAAAGAGGCCAUGCAGAGGUAGGUGCUGCCAUUUCUAAGCAGGAGUAGCUGAGGUGUAUGGACAAGGCCUAGUUUAUGUGGCACACAUACAUCAAGUUUGCAGCAGACUAUCGCAAGUUGCUCAAGCCAAUGACUGAUGCCUGUACUCUUGAUCCCCCCCCCACAAUGAAAAGUAAGUCAUCUUUUCAUUGGAUUUAUGCAUGAAAAGAGGGCUGAGCUGGAGGCUCAGAAUUGGCCUCAAUUCAACUGCUGCUCACC